UGGGCAGUAUCUUAGUGAACUGCACCUUUUACAACCAAACCAACUUGAUCUGCCUUGAUCCAUUAUGUGACAGGGACAGAGGA
rfam:Jeotgalibacillus malaysiensis strain D5, complete genome.